AACGAACGCUGGCGGCAGGCCUAACACAUGCAAGUCGAGCGAAGCCUUCGGGUUUAGCGGCGGACGGGUGAGUAACGCGUGGGAACGUGCCCUUUGGUACGGAAUAGCCCCGGGAAACUGGGAGGAAUACCGUAUGUGGUCGAGAGACGAAAGAUUUAUCGCCAAAGGAUCGGCCCGCGUUGGAUUAGGUAGUUGGUGGGGUAAUGGCCUACCAAGCCGACGAUCCAUAGCUGGUUUGAGAGGAUGAUCAGCCACACUGGGACUGAGACACGGCCCAGACUCCUACGGGAGGCAGCAGUGGGGAAUCUUAGACAAUGGGGGAAACCCUGAUCUAGCCAUGCCGCGUGAUCGAUGAAGGCCUUAGGGUUGUAAAGAUCUUUCAGUGGGGAAGAUAAUGACUGUACCCACAGAAGAAGCCCCGGCUAACUCCGUGCCAGCAGCCGCGGUAAUAC
rnacentral:rRNA from 1 species